GUGUGUGUGUGUGUGCCGCUCGUGAACAACACGGAAGGAAGGCGUAAAGGCAACGUGCAAACAGGACUACACACGUGCUUCAUAUCCGACCGACCGACAGUGUGUGUGUGUGUGUGCGGGCGUGUGUUUGCGACCUCUUGCGGUAAUACUAUCUACUCCCGUACGUAGGUCGGAGAUCCUGUACAUCCUGAACAGCAUAGGUGGAGGGAGGAGUACGUCUAUUCGGGGUAGCACUAGCAGUAGUAGUGGUAGUAGUAAGGGUGUGUGGCACAGCAAACAGCAGCAAAUGACCAGACCCGUUCGUUGGGUCUAGGCAGGUAGACGCUACUAAUGGUAGAUGGCGAUGGUUGUGCAAACGUGUUCAGUGUGUAAUCUCACAGCGUGUGUGUAAAAUAAUUCCAGCAAGGAUGUGAGAUUGGGCCACACUGAAUACAGCCCGUGAAGGCGAGUGAGUGAAGAAGCGAAAAGGAAAACGAAUGCAGAUAAAUAAAAAAAGUGUCGUUCGGGGAAAAAAAUGACGGUGAAAAUUGUAAUCGAUCGCACCACCCAUCACGGUUGGCCGUGUGUAAGGGUACCGGUGUAUGGAGCUGCAUAGUUGUUGCGCAUCACACGCAGUGUUUCGAGGCGUGAAAAAGCGGCAUUCGAAGGCGCACACAUUAUUCGACGGUUUGAAGGAUAUUCUUGGGUUUUGUUGUGUACUGCUGUAAGUGACACUGCCAUUCAGUGGGUGCGUCUAGUGUUUGUGUCCAUGUGCGUAUUACACACUAAACUGUGUGUUGCAAGCCUGCCGGUGAAUCGCUCCGUCAAGACGCCAUUUGACGCCCAAAAGAAAGGAAAAAGUCCCCGAUUCGAGGUUUCUCGACUUCUUCACGAAAUCCUCGACGGAACGGAAAUCCUGUCUUACUGUGCCACGGAGGAAGAAAAAAAUAAGCCAGCAAAGGCUAAAGCGCCAGUAUUGUGUGCGUGCAUCGCUGUGUGUCUGUGUGGGUGUGUUUGAAGGAGUGUUUUUUGGUUGAAGGUCGCCAGAGGCCAUUAGUGCUUUCAACCAGUGGAAGGACACCGGUGGAGGCAUGCACCAUUGAAGAGUACCCGCGGUUGGGUAUGGCUGCGGCAACGACGUCAUGCUGAGUCGUAAUACAUGGUAUAAGCUGUGGCGACAGUAUCAACACUCGUAGCUACGCACCGUGGUGGAAAAACGAUGCGCUUCCACAUUGCUAGCCAUAUGGAUGAAUGUAGGACGAACAGCGUUGCCGCACCAGUAGAGGUCACCAAACAUCGUCCGCUAAGUCGGCGUAGUGUACGAUGUGUCGUUGCUUGCCAAUCACGAAGCCCGUUGGCGCUACGCUAAGCCCAGGAUGAGACAGUGAAGCGUGCCGGUACGUCUACUACACCACACGCGCCUUUGCCGCUGAUGAUUAAUUACUGGAAAAAUUAAAUGUCCAACGCUCGGACAUCCGACGACCACUAGCUACGGACAGAGUAGAAAAUCUUGGCGCGUUCAUGAAGACACCACCCGAACACACCCCACCACGAAUCCGGCAUUAGGUGACGAAGAAGAUAAUCUCAGUCAGGCUAAUAAGCACGACGGGUCACAGAUAGAGAGGCGUAACAAACGGAACAGCAAAAACACAAAAAAGCAAACCCGUCUUGAACGUGAUAACAUCGUGUUGCUACACGCAAAUCAAGACGGCCACAGCUGGAACAGAGGACCACCGGAAUCUUUUUUGGCUACAUACGGAUCAAGUUUCACGGACAUCUUCGUUGCACAGCCCUAUGCCUACGUGACGACGCCUGGCUGACGUUCGACGGUCGGUCGCCACACCGACUUCCCGGUGCUUAAUAUGCUACAGAUAAAAAUAAAAUCACGUCCACGCUACGACGGACACAACGAGCACAGGCGAGCAGCACCUUCCCAGCAGCAGCAGCAACAAGCGCCCCGUUCACUAAUAUUUGCAUGGUGAAGUGGACUGGCCCAUCACAACCACCAGCACCAUUUGCCGUGGGGUUUUACCUUUCGCGGGGAAACCAAAGCUUUUGCGAACUCUUCAAAGAGUGAUCGCAAUCUGGAUCAGCAAACAGUAGCUGGAAGCAGGUGGAUAGGAUAGUAUAAACAAAAAAACGCGUGCGGGUACUCCAAAACCCCGGGAAAUGAAUCUUAUGAAUAACAUGGACUCAGAGAACCGGGUGGUUCUGAACGUUGGUGGUAUACGGCACGAAACGUACAAGGCGACGCUCAAGAAGAUCCCGGCCACAAGGCUCUCGAGACUGACGGAGGCACUGGGAAACUAUGAUCCCGUCCUAAACGAGUACUUCUUCGAUCGGCACCCGGGGGUGUUUGCGCAAGUACUCAACUACUAUCGCACGGGCAAACUGCACUAUCCGACGGAUGUCUGCGGGCCGCUGUUCGAGGAAGAGCUUUCCUUCUGGGGACUUGACUCCAAUCAGGUAGAGCCAUGCUGCUGGAUGACGUACACACAGCAUCGGAACACACAAGAAACGUUGGCUGUUUUAGAUAGAUUAGAUUUAGAUACGGAAAAACCGACCGACGAGGAGGUCGCGAAAAAGUUCGGUUUCGAAGACGCUUACAAUAAGGGCAAGGUGAGCUGGUGGCAGCACCUGAAGCCACAGAUCUGGUCACUGUUCGACGAACCGUACAGUUCCAACGCUGCCAAGAUAAUCGGUAUCAUAUCAGUGUUUUUCAUCUGCGUGUCGAUCAUAUCAUUCUGCCUGAAAACCCACCCGGACAUGCGCGUCCCCUACAUCCGCAACAUCACGGUCAAGACGGCGAACCAGAACACGUCCUGGGUGCUGGACAAAACGCAAACGAACGCGCACAUUGCGUUCUUCUACAUCGAAUGUGUCUGCAAUGCGUGGUUUACGUUCGAAAUAAUGGUACGCUUUAUAUCGUCGCCAAGUAAGCUAAGGUUCAUCACAUCAUCUGUAAAUAUCAUCGACUACAUCGCCACACUCAGCUUCUUCAUCGAUCUGAUACUGCAGCGAUUUGCAUCGCAUCUCGAGAACGCGGACAUACUCGAGUUCUUCUCCAUCAUCCGCAUCAUGCGGCUGUUCAAGCUGACGCGCCACUCGUCCGGCUUGAAGAUUCUGAUCCAAACGUUCCGGGCGUCGGCCAAGGAGCUCACGCUACUGGUGUUUUUCCUCGUGCUUGGCAUCGUGAUAUUCGCCAGUCUCGUGUACUACGCCGAACGCAUCCAGAUCAAUCCGCACAACGACUUCAACAGUAUCCCGCUCGGGUUGUGGUGGGCCCUGGUCACGAUGACCACCGUCGGGUACGGUGAUAUGACGCCCAAAACGUACAUCGGUAUGUUCGUUGGUGCACUCUGUGCGCUGGCCGGUGUGUUGACGAUCGCCCUGCCCGUGCCCGUCAUCGUGAGCAACUUCACGAUGUACUACUCGCACACGCAGGCCCGUGCAAAGUUACCGAAGCGAAGGCGACGCGUCUGUCCAGUGGAGCUGUCGAGGCCUCCCCGGCUGCCAGGUAAUUGUAACACAAGUCAAGCGGGCCCCGGUGUCUGUAAUACCGGUUCCGGUAAGCUUCCUUCCUCCAACGCGCCGAGUACGGGCAGCAUGGACCAAGCGAUCCGGCGGAUGAACGCCAAUCGAACCAUAACGAAGGACGUUAUACUGCCCAAGAUGGCAUGAUGUGAUUGCAGAUUUAUUCUUGUCGCUUACUAUCUCUCCAAAACAAACCCUAGCGCAGUGUAUGGAUGCAUUCGAUCACUGUACGCAAAUAGACAAAUGGCAGCCCCCAGAAGGAGCGUAGAAAGAUUGGGACAAAACAUUACAUUUGCACCAAAGUUUUUUUUAGUUCUUUUUCCGUUUUUUAACCUCAAAAAUGAAGAAACUCCUCCUAAAGUAAAUGCUUUCGUACAGUGGAUCAUCUUGCUCAUUCUAACCUUCUGAUGCAUCCGCAUCGUUCACCGUAAUGAUUUUGCCAUGUAAUAUUUGGACUGUAUGUAUGUGUGUGUGGUUAUGUGUAAUUUAAAACAAAGCAAACAAAAAACUGUUUCUAUGUGUAUUGAGCUGUUUGGAGGUGUGCCAUUCGGGUACCAAAACGACCACCAUGGGAAUGCUACGAUAUCCGAAAGGUCAGCAGAAACGAAUUGUCUCGAAUGUCAGCAGGUCUUCCAACGAACGUUUCGAGAUGAGCUUGUCAAUCCGGAACAGUGGAUCAAUUCCACGUCCAAAAAUCCAAUCAAAUGACAUUCCCAACCAUCGCGCUUAGUAGUGGUCGGUGGCACGUGGAACUCAACAUCAAAAGCGGACAGGCAGGAUGUUACCUGUACACCGAACACUAGCAGCAGCAGUAGCAGCACUAGCAGCAGCAACAACAUGCCACGGUUUGCAAUAUAAUCGGAAGGGCACCAAAAUUACCGGAAAUUGGAUUCCAACCGGCAACCGUACGGGAUCGAUACGGUAGACGACAGAAACAAAAGAACCAGUGGGUAACGUUUAAAAGUUGGCAAACCCACCACAACGCAGCAUGCGGAGAAGACAGAAUGGGUCACAUUUCAAACUGUCGAACACAAGCAGCAGCACCACCAUGUUCGUCUGGAAGGCUUCGCUUCUAUACCCGUUCGUGAAAGAGGCGAUCGUGAGCGUAACACCAAACCGGGACAUCAAACCAUACACCAUGGCCGAAGGGUUCGGUUCGCCUACAAUCAAUGUCCGGCAACGGAUUGUGCAUCCUUCUGUACCAACAGGAACAUUUCAUUUAAUUAUCUUAUUUGUAUUUACCAACACACCCUUCCAUUUUGUUCACCAGCAAACGGAUCAGUUUCUCGGUUUAUGUGCAGCUAACGAAGGCUUAGCUGCAGACAAAAAAACGCCCUCCAAAACCUUGACCUCUGGUGGACUUUGAUCUUUCCGGGGCACGUCCAAAAGGGCCAAGGGGAUUUCUUUGUGAAAAACCAUGCUGUGCCGUUGGGGAAGUGGAAAACUUUCUUCGAACACGAAGAACAAAAGCUUCCUUGAGGGACCCCAAAAACCCAGGACCCAUGGAUAGAGGUACACCCCCAUCCCAUCCGGAACGUGGGUAAAGCCCACGAAACUUUGUCUUACUACGGUUGUUCAGGUUCGACGUCAAACGACAAGGACAGUUCAGGCAAGAAGUUCUAAAUCGUUUAAAAAGCCGGUGUAACCUUCCACGUCCGGUCGUGUUGAAAUGAUGGAUCGGCAGAACAUCUUCCGUGUGUGUGUGUGCGUGCGUGCGUGUGCAUGCGAGUCGCUGCGGGAACAAUUCUGGAAGUGGAAAAGUUUUUCCCCUUUUUUAAAUUCAUGUUCACGUGCUUUUUCCUCUUUGAGUGGAGGGAAUGAUUCUUUUAACGUUGUACUAGACUUUCUAGAUUCAAGCCUUGGUUCGUUCUUCCUUUGAAUGCUUAUUGCUUUAUGGGGGUAAAGGGGGG